UAUAAUGCUUUGCUAAAUGCUUGUGAAAGGUAGAUGCUGCUGGCUCCAGAGUUAGUUGCAUUUCCCUUGAGGAUCGUCUGGGGAAGUUGGAACUGAUUGGAUCAAGGGCAUCUGAGCUUCUUCAAAAGCUUUUACAUCCUGCAACCUGUUCUUCAGUAAAUUCUUCCCUGGUGAAGUAUGCAUCCUUCAUUGAGAAUGACGACCAA
rnacentral:misc_RNA from 1 species